AACCGGAAGUGGGGAGCGCGGAGAGAAGGUCGCGCAGAAGCGGGAUAGACCUCUAAACAUUCAUGUUGUCUAAGGAAGAAGCCCUUAAGAGGCGAAAGAGGAAAGAACUGGAGUCUGCAAUGGCUCUUUCUCAGGGGACACAGGUUCGAGCCCUGGUCUGGGAAGAUCCCACAUGCCGCGGAGCAACUAAGUCCGUGCGCCACAACUACUGA